rnacentral:rRNA from 1 species
GACGAGGAUGCAAGCGUUAUCCGGAAUCACUGGGCGUAAAGCGUCUGUAGGUGGUUUAAAAAGUCUACUGUUAAAAAUUGAAGACUUAACUUCAAAGAUGCCGUAGAAACUUUUAAACUUGAGGAUGGUAGGGGUAGAGGGAAUUUCCAGUGGAGCGGUGAAAUGCGUAGAUCUUGGAAAGACCACCAAUGGCGAAGGCACUCUACUGGGCCAUGACUGACACUAAGAGACGAAAGCUAGGGGAGCAAAUGGG